UACGUAGGGGGCAAGCGUUGUCCGGAAUUAUUGGGCGUAAAGAGCGCGUAGGCGGUCCGGUAAGUCGGUUGUGAAAGUCGGGGGCUCAACCCUCGGGUGCCGAUCGAUACUGUCGGGCUAGAGUCCGGAAGAGGCGAGUGGAAUUCCUGGUGUAGCGGUGAAAUGCGCAGAUAUCAGGAGGAACACCAAUUGCGAAGGCAGCUCGCUGGGACGUUACUGACGCUGAGACGCGAAAGCGUGGGGAGCAAACAGG
rnacentral:rRNA from 1 species